UUGUUUUUUCCAAAAUAAAAGAAGUUUUAGAUUUCUCUCCGGUCACCAUUAUAUCAGAUUUUGAACAAGGACUACAGAAUGCUUUAAAAACAACUUGGAGUGAAAGCUUGGUGAAUGGUUGCAGGUUUCAUUUCGAAAAUGCAAUCACCAAGCAAUUAGCAAUUCUUGGUCUUCAGAGGGAAUACCGCCACCAAAUUCAAGUAAAGAAGU